GAUGAACGCUGGCGGCGUGCCUAAUACAUGCAAGUCGAGCGAACGGACCGGAAGCUUUCUUCUCUGAUGUUAGCGCCGGACGGGUGAGUCACACGUGGAUAGCCUACCUCUAAGACUGUGAUACCUUCGCGAAACCGUAGCUACUACCGGAUAAUUUUUUGACCCUCAUGGUUCCAGCGUGAAAGACGGUCUUUCUGUCACUUAUUGAUGGAUCCGCGCUGCAUUAGCUAGUUGGUAAGGUAACGGCUUACCAAGGCAACGAUGCAUAGCCGACCUGAGAGGGAGAUCGGCUAGCCGGGAAGAGAGACUCGGUAGAGACACCUACAGGAGGAAGCAGUAGGGAAUCUUACGCGAUGGAGGAAAGCCUGACGGAGCAAAACCGCGGGAGUGAUGAAGGUGUUCGGAUCGGAGAACGAUGUUAGUAGGGAAGAACAAAUGUGUAAGUAACUGGGAAGAUAUUGACGGUACCUAAUGAGAAAGCCACGGCUAACUACGUG
rnacentral:rRNA from 1 species